AAGAAUAUUAUUCUAAGAUAUACUAAAAUGCGUCCUCUGUGCAGUUUGCAAUAGAAAAUAUCACUUUCGAUCCCCUUCGGCCCUUCAGUCUCAUAUAGGUCAUAGGACUGAUAGUUUCGAUUUUGUAUUAGUGACUGAAUACCUACUGCAAGAAGCACAAUUUAAUGAGGAAUUAGGGAUACAUGGAGUGUCUGAUUGGAAUAUUUCAAAAAUAUGGAUAAUUGUCCUGAUUAAAAUCAAAAUAUCAGCUGCAGUUCAUGAACAAUUGGGAGUACGUUAUUAUUUGCUGAUGAAAAUGCAAAUCAAUGGAUAUCUAUCGAUAUGAGUGGGAAACAAUUUUGGAAUAAUUGUGCAGUACCAGAUCUCAAAUGACAUUGAACAAAUCAUUCAAGAACAGAAAAAAAGAGCAACACAGAGGAAUCAAACCGUCCAGUCCACCUUGUUAUUGGUAUCAGGGGAAUAUAAGAGGGAAUAUAUAUUAUAGCCGAAAGGUUUCAAAAUUGAAGAUGUAGAUGAACUGUCAAAAAUGUAUCUCUCCACAUAAAUAAUUUAUUCUUUAGCAGAUAACUAUGUUCCUUUGUAGUACAAUGUUCUAUCCUGUAUUUGUAGAAAUGUAAUAUAAAUAUUUUUCAAUGUAGAUAUUGUUUAUAUGUUGAUUUUUCGGGAAAAGAAACAAAUUUGUUUUUUAU